GAAGGGAAAAGAGAAAGUGAACGAAGAUAUCGAUUAAAUUCGAUAAAUAGUGGCUAGGUACGAAAGUAUAAGGACUCAGCAUACAAGCCAAUCCCCAAACUCAAAUUGGUGAAGUUUCUAUCUUUUUGGAAAAUGGCAUUGUACCUAGGAUGUCUUUUGGUCAUUUUCAAAGUAUCUAAGUUGUUAAGUGAUAUUUUGGUAUGUUUUGUAAAUGUUACCAAAACCUUAAGUAUGGUAUGUUUUGAUAUGUUAGUGAAGAGUAAUAAGAGGAAGUGUUGGUAAAUAUUGUAGAGAGAAGAAAUGAAGAUGUUAUAAA